rnacentral:rRNA from 1 species
UUGAACGCUGGCGGCAGGCCUAACACAUGCAAGUCGAACGGUAACAGGAAGCAGCUUGCUGCUUUGCUGACGAGUGGCGGACGGGUGAGUAAUGUCUGGGAAACUGCCUGAUGGAGGGGGAUAACUACUGGAAACGGUAGCUAAUACCGCAUAACGUCGCAAGACCAAAGAGGGGGACCUUCGGGCCUCUUGCCAUCGGAUGUGCCCAGAUGGGAUUAGCUUGUUGGUGGGGUAACGGCUCACCAAGGCGACGAUCCCUAGCUGGUCUGAGAGGAUGACCAGCCACACUGGAACUGAGACACGGUCCAGACUCCUACGGGAGGCAGCAGUGGGGAAUAUUGCACAAUGGGCGCAAGCCUGAUGCAGCCAUGCCGCGUGUAUGAAGAAGGCCUUCGGGUUGUAAAGUACUUUCAGCGGGGAGGAAGGGAGUAAAGUUAAUACCUUUACUCAUUGACGUUACCCGCAGAAGAAGCACCGGCUAACUCCGUGCCAGCAGCCGCGGUAAUACGGAGGGUGCAAGCGUUAAUCGGAAUUACUGGGCGUAAAGCGCACGCAGGCGGUUUGUUAAGUCAGAUGUGAAAUCCCCGGGCUCAACCUGGGAACUGCAUCUGAUACUGGCAAGCUUGAGUCUCGUAGAGGGGGGUAGAAUUCCAGGUGUAGCGGUGAAAUGCGUAGAGAUCUGGAGGAAUACCGGUGGCGAAGGCGGCCCCCUGGACGAAGACUGACGCUCAGGUGCGAAAGCGUGGGGAGCAAACAGGAUUAGAUACCCUGGUAGUCCACGCCGUAAACGAUGUCGACUUGGAGGUUGUGCCCUUGAGGCGUGGCUUCCGGAGCUAACGCGUUAAGUCGACCGCCUGGGGAGUACGGCCGCAAGGUUAAAACUCAAAUGAAUUGACGGGGGCCCGCGCAAGCGGUGGAGCAGGUGGUUUAAGUCGAUGCAACGCGAAGAACCUUACCUGGUCUUGACAUCCACAGAACUUUCCAGAGAUGGAUUGGUGCCUUCGGGAACUGUGAGACAGGUGCUGCAUGGCUGUCGUCAGCUCGUGUUGUGAAAUGUUGGGUUAAGUCCCGCAACGAGCGCAACCCUUAUCCUUUGUUGCCAGCGGUCCGGCCGGGAACUCAAAGGAGACUGCCAGUGAUAAACUGGAGGAAGGUGGGGAUGACGUCAAGUCAUCAUGGCCCUUACGACCAGGGCUACACACGUGCUACAAUGGCGCAUACAAAGAGAAGCGACCUCGCGAGAGCAAGCGGACCUCAUAAAGUGCGUCGUAGUCCGGAUUGGAGUCUGCAACUCGACUCCAUGAAGUCGGAAUCGCUAGUAAUCGUGGAUCAGAAUGCCACGGUGAAUACGUUCCCGGGCCUUGUACACACCGCCCGUCACACCAUGGGAGUGGGUUGCAAAAGAAGUAGGUAGCUUAACCUUCGGGAGGGCGCUUACCACUUUGUGAUUCAUGACUGGGGUG